rnacentral:lncRNA from 1 species
CACCAGUCCUACCUUUCCUUUUCCUUAUGCACUGCAUUCUAGCUUCCACUUCACUUACAGUUCCACUGACCCUCUACUCUUUUCUCCUAAAACAGAGAGAGAGAGAGCAUGAGUGUGUGUGUGCACGUGUGCGUGAAUUAUCAGUGGAUUCCUACUGCGGACAUAAUGUGCAGGGAAGAAGCAGUAGGUAAGGAGGUUGGGGAGGCAGUAGGGCCUGCCGUGCUGUGAUAAGCUGUUUGGUUUUAUUCUGUAAGCAAUGGGGAGCUAUGGAAGGCUUUUGGGUAAAGGAAAGUGAAGGGAACACUCUUUAAGUCAGGGAAGAUUGUUAGAAGCACCAGUAAAAGGGGCAUAGAUAUUCUGUCUCCAAGAGUUGUAGGAAGUGAAUAAAACCAGCAAGAAAUGCCUUCAAAGGCUCUACAGAACUAUACAUAUGGGUUCUUCUGUUUUACCAAAACGUUCUUUGUUAUUUCUCAGGAAAUACCAUAUAUUUGUGUUUAUUUUCUUGUAUAGAAUUGUGGAAUGUUGGAACUGGGAAAUAUUUGAGCUGGAAAGAGUCUUAGAAAUCUUAAAUGAUGUGAUCAUCUUAUUUACAUAUUAGAACUUGGAGCCUGGAAGGAUUUAAAGUGAACUGACAACAGAAUAAAAAAGCAUCAGUGAUAGGACACAGACUGGAACUUGGAACUCCUGACAUCUAGUUCGGGAAUUUCCCAGCACACCUCGACUUCCCAAGCUGUUCCACUCAUUCUAUGUGAUUAUGAUGGGGUGGAGGGACAUUCCAUUGUUAAAGAAUUCUGAGAAAAUGGGAAAGGAGAAUGAUAAAAAUCAGAAAACUCAUAAUGUUGCAUCUUUCACUUCAUGGUGCAUAUUAACGUUUUAAAGUGCCUAAGAAAUCCCAUGUUAAAAAAAAAUUAACAUUGCCAGCUCACUAUUUUGCAGACUUAUUUUCCCAUAGACCUGCCCCCUCCUUUUGGUUUUCACGUAGGCCUGACAGUGCUGCAUGAGUCCCUUGUGGGGAAGCCCAUCCUGCCUCUCUUCUUCAUUUUCUUCAUUUUCUCCCUUUUUUCUUCCUUCUCUUUGUCCACAUAAUUACC